AGGGGUUUAGGCUAGAAUUACAGACCAAGAACCUUCAAAGUUCUAAGCGAGAGUGAAAAUCCCUCAACCCCUG
rnacentral:tRNA from 1 species